UAGAAUUAUUACCUCUUUACCUUCAGUGUCGCUUUUCCUUUUUCUGCAAGAGCCUGUUUUUAAUUAGAGAUCCAUGAUGAUUAUUGUUACUAGGUUAAUGUAAUCGAGAAACAUCACCCGUUGAGAUCCUGAGUUAUAUCCAGGAAGAAUAGUUUAAAAGGAAAGAUGAAAAGUUAUAGAAAUUAAGGUUGAGACAGAACAACAC
rnacentral:lncRNA from 1 species